GCCUAAUUGCUCAGUUGGUUAGUGUGUUGUGCUAAUAACGCGAAAGUUACAGGUUCGAGACCUGUAUUGGGCA
rfam:Ipomoea nil DNA, scaffold: scaffold1101, cultivar: Tokyo-kokei standard.